GAGGGCGCCUGAGAAACGGCUACCAUUUCUACGGAAGGCAGCAGGCGCGUAAAUUACCCAAUCCUGACUCAGGGAGGUAGUUAAUAGAAAUAAUGUGCACGUCUCGACUAUGAGACUGGGAAUAUAAUGAAUGCAUUUUAAAAUAUUGUAUGAAUCCUAUUGGAGGGCAAGUCUGGUGCCAGCAGCCGCGGUAAUUCCAGCUCCAAUAGCAUAUAUUAAAGUUGUUGCAGUUAAAAAGCUCGUAGUUGAACCUCCGGCAUUAUUUAUAAUGUCUGCUUACGAAAUCUGAAGAUACUGAAAAUGUUUCAUCAGUCGGAGUAAGCCUUUACCGUGAACAAAAUAGAGUGCUCAAAGCAGGCUAUUGCUUGAAUAAUACAGCAUGGAAUAAUAAAAUAGGACUAAAUCCAUUUUAUUGGUUAUUGGAUAUAGUAAUGACUAACAGGAACAGUUGGGGGCAUUUGUAUUUAAUAGUCAGAGGUGGAAUUCUUAGAUUUAUUAAAGACAAACUAAUGCGAAAGCAUUUGCCAAGGAUGUUUUCAUUAAUCAAGAACGAAAGUUAGGGGAUCAAAGGCGAUUAGAUACCGUCGUAGUCCUAACCAUAAACGAUACCGACUAGGGAUUGGUGAGAAAACUUCUCAUCAGCACCUAAUGAGAAAUCAAAGUCUUUGGGUUCUGGGGGG
rnacentral:rRNA from 1 species